rnacentral:rRNA from 1 species
ACACUGGAACUGAGACACGGUCCAGACUCCUACGGGAGGCAGCAGUGGGGAAUAUUGGACAAUGGGCGCAAGCCUGAUCCAGCCAUGCCGCGUGUGGCCUAGAAGGUCUUCGGAUUGUAAAGCACUUUAAGUUGGGAG